rfam:Rattus norvegicus chromosome 10, whole genome shotgun sequence.
GGGGAUUUAGCUCAGUGGUAGAGUGCUUGCCUAGGAAGCGCAAGGCCCUGGGUUCGGACCCCAGCUCCG